UACAGAGGUCUCCAGCGUUGUUCGGCUUCAUUGGGCGUAAAGGGGGCGUAGGCGGCGCGGUAAGUCGGGUGUGAAAUCUUGGAGCUUAACUCCGAAACUGCAUUCGAUACUGCGGUGCUUGAGGACUGGAGAGGAGACUGGAAUUUACGGUGUAGCGGUGAAAUGCGUAGAUAUCGUAAGGAAGACCAGUGGCGAAGGCGGGUCUCUGGACAGUUCCUGACGCUGAGGCACGAAGGUCAGGGGAGCAAACGGG
rnacentral:rRNA from 1 species